rnacentral:rRNA from 1 species
GACGUAGGGCGCGAGCGUUGUCCGGAAUCAUUGGGCGUAAAGCGCGUGUAGGCGGCCCGGUAAGUCCGCUGUGAAAGUCGGGGGCUCAACCCUCGGAUGCCGGUGGAUACUGUCGGGCUUGAGUACGGAAGAGGCGAGUGGAAUUCCUGGUGUAGCGGUGAAAUGCGCAGAUAUCAGGAGGAACACCGAUUGCGAAGGCAGCUCGCUGGGACGUUACUGACGCUGAGACGCGAAAGCGUGGGGAGCAAACAGG